GCCGGAGUGGCGGAAUCGGCAGACGCGCUCGACUCAAACUCGGGUUCCUUCGGGAGUGUGGGUUCGACUCCCACCUCCGGCA
rnacentral:tRNA from 1 species